CAAAUAGGUCUAAAUAACCUGAAGGCACAAGAUCCCAUGUGGUCUUGGACUCUAGACAGGGUCAGCCAUAGUUAGUAUUUGAAUGGGAGACUACCAAAAAAACUUAUGGGCUUAUAUGG
rnacentral:rRNA from 1 species